GACGAACCGGGCGAACGUUGUUCGGAAUCACUGGGCUUAAAGGGCGCGUAGGCGGGUGCUCAAGUCCGGGGGGAAAUCCUCCAGCUCAACUGGAGAACUGCCUCGGAUACUGGGUGUCUCGAGUGUGGUAGGGGUAUGCGGAACUCUCGGUGGAGCGGUGAAAUGCGUUGAUAUCGAUAGGAACUCCGGUGGCGAAGGCGGCAUACUGGACCACUACUGACGCUGAUGCGUGAAAGCCAGGGGAGCAAACGGG
rnacentral:rRNA from 1 species